UACGGAGGGUGCAAGCGUUAUCCGGAUUCACUGGGUUUAAAGGGAGCGUAGGAGGGCAGGUAAGUCAGUGGUGAAAUCCUCGAGCUUAACUCGGAAACUGCCGUUGAUACUAUCUGUCUUGAAUACCGUGGAGAUGAGCGGAAUAUGUCAUGUAGCGGUGAAAUGCUUAGAUAUGACAUAGAACACCAAUUGCGAAGGCAGCUCGUUACACGAAUAUUGACUCUGAGGCUCGAAGCGUGGGAGUCAAACAG
rnacentral:rRNA from 1 species